rnacentral:lncRNA from 1 species
CUCAUUUUAUUUUUUUAUUGCACAGUGAAAAACAAGGAAGCAACAUUUACAAUUAAAUGAUGCAUACUGCAGAUCUGGAAUUCUAACAUUAGCUACAGGAAGCAUUUAAGAAAUCCAUCUGCUUAGAACACCUCAAAAAGUGACUUUUUGAGAAUUCCCUUCUUUUAUACUGUAAUCCAAUCAAGUUCAAAUGAACUUCCCUUACAUAGAGUCAGAGCAUUGGUCCAGUUCAGUUCAGUUUUCUGGCAGUAAAUUUCUUAAGGAGAGGUCAUUCACAUCACUUUUUCCUGUGACCUUUGUAGCUGGAGAUUCCAGUGACUGAACCCAGGAAGUUCAGCAUGCAGUGCAUACAUGUUGAGCCAUGCUCCUCUCUCUUCCUGUUCAACCACUGCUACAAAUUUUCAAGCCUUUCUACCUGAAUAAAUAUGCAGCAAAUUGUUUUUCUUCUCAAAGUCUGGUUCUAAUAAAACUAAAAUACCAUAUAAAUGGCUUGUUUAAGCAAUCAUCCUCAACUGACUUCACUACAAGGUAAUUGCAUUAAAACAAACUUAUCUUUAUUUCAGCAGGCCUACUCCAGAGUUAAAGUGGUUUAUAAAGCAGAUGUAAACUCUGGGUUCUAUGGGAUAACCUACAAAUUGUGCACUUGGGAGACCAGUUUCAGCUGGGAAGGCAAUGAUGGAAGGAACUUUGUGAUACUUCUAAAUCCUAGGCUCUCAGACUAUUGUGGGGAGGGCAAUGUCCCCAGAGGGGGAAGGUUCCAAGACAGGUAACCCCUCCUCCCAUACUUGCCAAGGUUUGGCACUGCUAUUGCUGCUGCCCAUAAAGAAGAAACAUGAUAACUCUUGAUAAACAGACCAUAGAUGGGCAUGAUAAUCCUGCAGCAUCCUGUUUCUUUGGCAGCUGAAGCUUAGUGUUCCAACCACUGCCAGCUCCAUUUCCUAUAAAACCUUUCCUAUAUGGAAAAUAUUUUCUGUCUCAGACAUACUUCCAGAUGCUGUAUCUUUGCUCCCAGCACCCAGUGGGCAGCAGAUAACUUUCUCCAAUUCUGUUUGGAUAGAAAAUGCUAGAGUUCAAGGAGAUGAGCUAUAUGGCGCACCCACAUCCACCAUAAAACUUCCCAUAAAAACACAUGUAAGGAGGGAAGAGAAGAACAGUAAGAGAUUAUGAUUUAUGUGCUGCUUUUUGAGGACUGGGUGAGUUGAACACCCCCAGAGGACCCCAGAUUUGGAUGGGGUGCAGCUUCACUGACACAUUGUCUUAGCCUAAUAUAGGGGAAAUGAAAUUCAAGAGGAACUGCUUCCAACAUGUCUGUAUAGUUUUAGAACAGGAUUGAAAAGGCCCUGCUAUAUUCCACUUCUAAUGCCAGUAAUAAAUUAGUGGCCCAAUACAGUCUUGCAUUUAGAAGCAGGCUGCAUACACACAAUUUGCUGGAUCGUCUUAGCAUGUUCACACAAGAGUGGACUAGUGUUGGGUUAUAGUGCAGAAGGUAUAAAAAAAAUUAGGGCACGAGUUUGGGGAUAUUACCCAAAGUAACCUCUACUACCAACUUUUUGUAUAAUCUGUAAAAAUGUAUCAUCCAUCCAGCACCUUUCAGGGCCUUGUAUCCAAAUGAUUUUAAAUAAAUUAACAGCAAAAGGCAAGCAGUAAAAAAAAGGUAUCAAAAUUUGAGUAUUACUAAAAAUGUGUACUGUAUUCUACAAAGAAGCUGGAUGAGAGAACCAGUUUUAUUGCUUACCUCACUGGUAUAUUUUGAAGUUUAAGGCAGCCUUAUUUAUUUGUUAGCAAUAAAAUGGGCACAAUAUUUAUCUCUCAUUUUUUAAAAAGAUAUUUUGUAGUUUGUAAGCCAUUUGCAACUACUGUAUAUGUUUCAGUGAGUGUCUUUUACACAGCUGUGGCAAAGCUCAAUUUUGACAUGGCUGCUGGAUUAAUCUAAAUCCUUCAAUUAACUGUUCAGGAGAAAAACAUACUUGUGUGUUUAAAUCUCUUCGAGACAAUAGCUCCCUUUUAUUCCUCUCCAGAAACCGCUCUGUAAGGUUUCUUAACAGUCAAUAUAUUCCAAUAUUCUUCACAGUGUAGCGAAGUCAGGGAAGAGCAGAAGGUGCCUAUUUAAAACUGCUAAAGUCAUCAGUAUUUCUGUGGCUUCCUAAGGGAAUAUAUAUGAUAUAGAGUUAAGGGAUACAUUUCCUGCUUUAAAAGCUUUCAGUGUUAGUGAUCCUCUCAGUUUAUUUCACUCUGAAGUGACUUUCAAAUCAUAAUUAGAAAAAAGAAAAAGUUAUCAGCAGACUCAAUUCUUCAAUCCCUUUGAAUUCAAUGUGGGUUGAUUCAUUUGUAACAGUUUCUACCCCCCCCCCCCUUAUUUCCCCCCAAGCAUACUUACUUGUAACAUUCAUGGAAUUUGCCCCUCUCUUCUAAUCAAUGUGCUAGCUUAUUAUGCAAAGUCAAUGUGAUUUACAGACCUACUUUAUUAGCUGCUGCAUCAGCACACAAGAGCAUAGAAUUAGACACUAGUGUUCACUGCUGGGGGCAACACAGAGUGUCUACAACUGAGCAGUGAUAAAGAAGAAAGUCUCCUGAGCCACCAAGGGCCCCAGGCAUCAUCUCUGAUGCACCAUUUUGCAAAUAAUUAUGUAACAUUGGGAGGAAGAGGUUGGUCCCAUUAUCUGGGAUCCAAUAGGUCUUUUUGAUCCUGUAAUCAAGAAACAGAUAAUGCACCACUGAUUAGUCGUAGGUUUGGUAAGAAUGGUCUAGCCAGGGCUUUCAAAUAGGCUUGUCUCACUUACCAAGGGUAAGACACAGUGGUAAUAAGGACGGUACAAGUACUGCUUGAGUUACUGUAACUACAUGGCCACAUUUUACUGAAAUCAAGUAUGCAAAGCAUUGUGAACACUCAAAAUGUGCUUAAGUAUUAUUACUGGUGUUUGCUUGGUGUUUUGGUUGGUUUUUUUGCAAUAAUUGAUUCUAAUCUAAUUGUACUCAUUACUGAAUUGAUUCCCACUCCCCCGAAUAUACCUUCUAAUGAUUACACCAUUCCUAUCUUGCCCAAGUUAAAAGCUAAGAAAUAACAAACAUCUUAUUGAUGGCAAAUCCUAUCCAUCUCAUUGUACCAUGAUAUGACUUCCAAAUAAGAGUGGCAGUCUUUACACACUAAUAAACUAGGAGAUCUAUAUGCUGGUCAUAUUUGUAUGCAGUUAUUAUAUUUUGUAAUUUUAUCAGUUUGACAAUCAUACUAAAGGUGAUUUCCCUUUAAUUGAAUUUUGAGUCACUGAAAAUGUACAUA